CCUACGGGAGGCAGCAGUGGGGAAUCUUCCGCAAUGGGCGAAAGCCUGACGGAGCAACGCCGCGUGAUCGAAUGAAGGCCUUCGGGUUGUAAAGAUCUGUUGACAGGGACGAAUAAGCAAUGCAAAUAGUUUUGUGUAUGACGGUACCUCUUGAAUAAGCCACGGCUAACUACGUGCCAGCAGCCGCGGUAAUACGUAGGUGGCAAGCGUUGUCCGGAUUUACUGGGUGUAAAGGGCGUGCAGCCGGGAAGACAAGUCAGAUGUGAAAUCCCGCGGCUCAACCGCGGAACUGCAUUUGAAACUGUUUUUCUUGAGUACCGGAGAGGUCAUCGGAAUUCCUUGUGUAGCGGUGAAAUGCGUAGAUAUAAGGAAGAACACCAGUGGCGAAGGCGGAUGACUGGACGGCAACUGACGGUGAGGCGCGAAAGCGUGGGGAGCAAACAGGAUUAGAUACCCCAGUAGUC
rnacentral:rRNA from 1 species